CUGCGGUAGUAGUGGCUGUAGCCAGUCGUAUCGCUUUCGUACAUGGGGUUGUACUUAACGGCAUUCUCAAUGGACGAGAGGCUGUCACCCUGCCUGGGGGAGCGACAAACAAACCGUGAGCUCUGCAGCCUGGCACUGGGAGAUGUUCUUUAAAAUAUUAGGUGGCGUCACUUACCCCUGAGAGUCCUCAGUGUCGCUCUUCGUGUAUUGGUCUCGAAGGGUCCUGGCCAAGAAGAAGAUGACAGCAGAUGCCACAAGAAGGAACCCUGCCACAGAAGCAAUGGCAAUACCCACAACCAGGGGCUCAGACACGUAUUCCUCACAGUGCUCCCCUCUGUACCACCAGUUCUCUCCUACACGACACCUGCAAAAAGGAAACACUGGGAAUUCAAACACCAGCCAAAAACUAUGACUUAAGUUAAUGCAGAUGUAUUUCAUUUCUUCUUAUGACAGUGCCUUAGUUA